UACGUACGAGGCGAGCGUUAUCCGGAAUUACUGGGCGUAAAGCGUGCGCAGGCGGUUUUGUAAGACUGUCGUGAAAUCCCCGGGCUCAACCUGGGAAUGGCGAUGGUGACUGCAAGGCUAGAGUUUGGCAGAGGGGGGUAGAAUUCCACGUGUAGCAGUGAAAUGCGUAGAUAUGUGGAGGAACACCGAUGGCGAAGGCAGCCCCCUGGGUCAAAACUGACGCUCAUGCACGAAAGCGUGGGGAGCAAACAGG
rnacentral:rRNA from 1 species